AUGCGCAAGGGCCUGGGUACCAUGACCCUUGUCCCCUGGAUGAUAUGGAAGCACUGCAACGACUGCGUCUUCAACGGAGCGCGCCCAUCGGUGAACGCCCUGCUAACGAAGAUCAAGGAAGAGGCCUCCCUUUGGGCAAGCGCAGGCGCACUAGAGCUUAGAGCCAUUACCCCCCGACAUGGGAUGUCCAUUAAUCGAAUAUCUGCCUCCUAG
rnacentral:rRNA from 1 species